rnacentral:rRNA from 1 species
AUGAACGCUGGCGGCGUGCCUAACACAUGCAAGUCGAACGGAGAUUAGACGCUGACGAGACUUCGGUCAAAUCUGUUUAAUCUUAGUGGCGGACGGGUGAGUAACGCGUGGGCAACCUGCCUCAUACUGGGGGGAUAGCAGUUGGAAACGACUGAUAAUACCGCAUAAGCGCACGAGAUCGCAUGAUCUAGUGUGAAAAACUCCGGUGGUAUGAGAUGGGCCCGCGUCAGAUUAGCUAGUUGGUAAGGUAACGGCUUACCAAGGCGACGAUCUGUAGCCGGACUGAGAGGUCGGACGGCCACACUGGGACUGAGACACGGCCCAAACUCCUACGGGAGGCAGCAGUGGGGGAUAUUGCACAAUGGAGGAAACUCUGAUGCAGCGACGCCGCGUGAGUGAAGAAGUAUUUCGGUAUGUAAAGCUCUAUCAGCAGGGAAGAAAGGCUCGUAAGAGAGAUGACGGUACCUGACUAAGAAGCCCCGGCUAACUACGUGCCAGCAGCCGC